rnacentral:lncRNA from 1 species
AUGAUCUCCAGCACCUUCAAGAUCAACAUUGACUCUGAAGAGUUGGUGGUGGUAAGGGACCCGGGAGCUGAAGAUGUUUAUCCCCUAAAAAAAUGGGAAUUUGCAGUGGACGAAGAGUUUGAGUCUCUAAAGUCACGCUAUAACAUCCACUUCGAGGUUGAAAGUGACAAAUCUGCGAUUCUAGAAGAAAACUCUUUCCUUCAAAGUGAUAACUUAAAAAUCUAUUUUGAAGAACUAACAUGUUUAGCUGUGGUGGUUGGAGAACAAAGAGAAGUGGAGAAGAUUUUAAGUGGCUUGCAGAACAAACAGCAGGUUCAAAAAGAGUGUUGUGUGUCUGAGAAACAAUUUAACCUCAUCAAAGAGGUGUUUGAGCCAUACAUAAAAUCGAAUUUACCUGCGCUUAAGAUCACACAGGAACGAGCAGGCGUUCUCCUAAAGGGUCCCGAGAAAGAGGUUCAUGCAGGUGAAAAUGAGCUUUUAAAAUUAGCAAAAGGAAUCAAAGAGAAGAGGAUCCCAUCACAUCAUCCUCUUAUGACCUUUUUGGAAUCAAGUGGCGGUAUACAGCACUUCCAAAACCGAUUUCAGCAGAGCCUCCGCAGCCCAGUUAUGCUUGAGACUUCAGGUUCAGAUGUUCUUCUGUUGAGUCUGUCUGAUGGAGCUCUAGAGGAGGCGGCUGCUGCCGUGGAGAGAGACUUGUGUUUGGAGACUGUGCGCCUGGACAAUACUCAGAAAUCUUCUGCAUUUACUAAGCUGAAGGAGGAUUUGAGCGAAGCCGUCAAGCAGGCCAAUCACAAAAGUGUUAAAGUGGAGCUUAAAUACCAGGAUGAAUCAACUUCUGACCCCAAGGUUCAACUUGUGGGCUACACACCUGAAGUCAGUAAGCUGAAGAACAUUGUGCUGGUAUACAAAAGAAACCAUCAGAUCCAUCAUGCAUCCCUGCCUCUUUCCAGUCCAGAGAUGGCAGAGCACUUCUCUGAGAUCAUGGCAAUUGGCGGCAUGAAGAAGAGCAGUGUGGAAAUAAAGCCAACAAAUUCACCUUCCCCAUGUGUCCACCUCAAGGGACCUCGCUGUGAAGUUGAGAGCUUGAAGGACAGCCUUGAGUCAUGCCUUCAGAGGCUUGCCACUAAACGAUGUGAGGUGAAAGGACCUGGAGUUCAACAGUUUUUUCAAAGUGAAGGUGCAAGGAUCUUGCAAUUGGUGAAGAAUUCUUAUAUGGUUGGGAUACUGCCUAUAGAUGAUAAGCAGAAAAGAGGUAAAGAACCCAAAUACAUGAGCAGUCUCAACCUCCAGAGCUCACCAUUUACGUCUGCAGCUUCCCAAGACACUCUGGACUCUGAAAAAGAGAUAGACAUUAAAGUUGUGGUUGGUAGCCUUGAACAACAGCAGGCAAGUCUACAAAUUACUUUGUAUUUAUGUUACACCUCUCAAACAGAACUAUUGAGUAACUUAUGUGAUUCAUAUAAUUAA